rnacentral:lncRNA from 1 species
UAAGAAAUAGCAGCCUUGUCUUCAGGCUCGAGAACCCAAGAGGCCGAGACGUGUUCCUUUCUCGGCCGCAAUCGCAAGACGCAGAAGUCAGUAGCGUGACCCAACGCAGCAUCAUCAAAUUUACUCCUCGGCCGAGCCUCGGCCGACGAGUUGGCACGCCCCGCAAUCACCGAAGGACGUAGUUAGCUUAGAAUAUACUCGGCCUGCGCGCCACGUAGGCUUUGUAGUUUCUAGGGUCAACAUUUUGGCACGCCCAGUGGGACUCAGUGCUAAUACUACGAAGUUCAUAUGAUAUAUCAAGAUUCCAAUCUGGCUCAACGUAGCCGAUUGCACGAGCUCCUGGAGGAAUUGAAAAAACAUAAUGAGGAAUGUAAAAAAUCUUUGGAAGCAGAAAAAGUUUUUCGUGGCCAUAGAGAGAUGCAAAAGUCAUUCGCUUGCAUGUUGAAAAUAAAAGCUCCUGUUACCCUGCAAGGGCAAUGGGUAAAUGAAGACAAGGCUCGAUUUAAUGCCUGGCUAGAUGAAGAAAAUUUUCCUUAUGUUUCUGAUUACAGAUCAAUUCCAUUUGAAAAAUGGUUAGGCCCAAAGGCCGGGGGGCAAUUUUUCGCUCCAGCCGUAAUCAAACAUUGGCCUAAGAAAAUUGUUAAUUUGGCCGAAGAACAAAGGCCACUUAUUUUUUCGGUCGAGGCUGAAAAUAUGGUCGGCCAAGAAGAAAAACCUAGGCCACCUAUUUUUUCGGUCGAGACUGAAAGUGUGGUAGGCCUAGAAGAAAAAGUUAAAGUUUCUGAGCCACAAAUCGACUCAAAAAAUGAUUCGCCAGAAAAGUGCUCCAAUGACGAACAAGGCCGAGACAUAGGCCUAGCCAGAAAAACCACGCCAAUC